UAUGGAGGGGGCUAGCGUUAUUCGGAAUUACUGGGCGUAAAGCGCACGUAGGCGGAUCGGAAAGUCAGAGGUGAAAUCCCAGGGCUCAACCUUGGAACUGCCUUUGAAACUCCUGGUCUUGAGGUCGUGAGAGGUGAGUGGAAUUCCGAGUGUAGAGGUGAAAUUCGUAGAUAUUCGGAGGAACACCAGUGGUGAAGGCGGCUCAUUGGCACGAUAUUGACGCUGAGGUGUGAAAGUGUGGGGAGCAAACAGG
rnacentral:rRNA from 1 species